rnacentral:rRNA from 1 species
GGAGCUUGCUCCCGGAUGUUAGCGGCGGACGGGUGAGUAACACGUGGGUAACCUGCCUGUAAGACUGGGAUAACUCCGGGAAACCGGAGCUAAUACCGGAUAGUUCCUUGAACCGCAUGGUUCAAGGAUGAAAGACGGUUUCGGCUGUCACUUACAGAUGGACCCGCGGCGCAUUAGCUAGUUGGUGGGGUAAUGGCUCACCAAGGCGACGAUGCGUAGCCGACCUGAGAGGGUGAUCGGCCACACUGGGACUGAGACACGGCCCAGACUCCUACGGGAGGCAGCAGUAGGGAAUCUUCCGCAAUGGACGAAAGUCUGACGGAGCAACGCCGCGUGAGUGAUGAAGGUUUUCGGAUCGUAAAGCUCUGUUGUUAGGGAAGAACAAGUGCGAGAGUAACUGCUCGCACCUUGACGGUACCUAACCAGAAAGCCACGGCUAACUACGUGCCAGCAGCCGCGGUAAUACGUAGGUGGCAAGCGUUGUCCGGAAUUAUUGGGCGUAAAGGGCUCGCAGGCGGUUUCUUAAGUCUGAUGUGAAAGCCCCCGGCUCAACCGGGGAGGGUCAUUGGAAACUGGGAAACUUGAGUGCAGAAGAGGAGAGUGGAAUUCCACGUGUAGCGGUGAAAUGCGUAGAGAUGUGGAGGAACACCAGUGGCGAAGGCGACUCUCUGGUCUGUAACUGACGCUGAGGAGCGAAAGCGUGCGGAGCGAACAGGAUUAGAUACCCUGGUAGUCCACGCCGUAAACGAUGAGUGCUAAGUGUUAGGGGGUUUCCGCCCCUUAGUGCUGCAGCUAACGCAUUAAGCACUCCGCCUGGGGAGUACGGUCGCAAGACUGAAACUCAAAGGAAUUGACGGGGGCCCGCACAGGGCCCGCACAAGCGGUGGAGCAUGUGGUUUAAUUUGAAGCAACGCGAAGAACCUUACCAGGUCUUGACAUCCUUUGACAACCCUAGAGAUAGGGCUUUCCCUUCGGGGACAGAGUGACAGGUGGUGCAUGGUUGUCGUCAGCUCGUGUCGUGAGAUGUUGGGUUAAGUCCCGCAACGAGCGCAACCCUUGAUCUUAGUUGCCAGCAUUCAGUUGGGCACUCUAAGGUGACUGCCGGUGACAAACCGGAGGAAGGUGGGGAUGACGUCAAAUCAUCAUGCCCCUUAUGACCUGGGCUACACACGUGCUACAAUGGACAGAACAAAGGGCUGCAAGACCGCAAGGUUUAGCCAAUCCCAUAAAUCUGUUCUCAGUUCGGAUCGCAGUCUGCAACUCGACUGCGUGAAGCUGGAAUCGCUAGUAAUCGCGGAUCAGCAUGCCGCGGUGAAUACGUUCCCGGGCCUUGUACACACCGCCCGUCACACCACGAGAGUUUGCAACACCCGAAGUCGGUGAGGUAACCUUUAUGGAGCCAGCCGCC